rnacentral:rRNA from 1 species
CCUACGGGUGGCAGCAGUGAGGAAUAUUGGUCAAUGGACGAGAGUCUGAACCAGCCAAGUAGCGUGAAGGAUGACUGCCCUAUGGGUUGUAAACUUCUUUUAUAUGGGAAUAAAACAGGGUAUGCAUACCCUCUUGUAUGUACCCUAUGAAUAAGUAUCGGCUAACUCCGUGCCAGCAGCCGCGGUAAUACGGAGGAUCCGAGCGUUAUCCGGAUUUAUUGGGUUUAAAGGGAGCGUAGGUGGAUUGUUAAGUCAGUUGUGAAAGUUUGCGGCUAAACCGUAAAAUUGCAGUUGAAACUGGCAGUCUUGAGUACAGUAGAGGUGGGCGGAAUUCGUGGUGUAGCGGUGAAAUGCUUAGAUAGCACGAAGAA